rnacentral:lncRNA from 1 species
CAAAACCAGAAUGCAUUUUAGCUUCUUUCUCUCCACAUUUUACUUCUACGCCGAAAAAUCACAAGAAAAUUAAGCUAUCAAUUUGCCCCUUUCUCGCUGCUUACCUCCAACUAAAAUUGCUAUGCACGACACAUCGGUUACAUCCCAUGGCUUACAUUUGUUGGCUGCUAACGUCUCCUCACUCCGCUGAGUGAAGGAAAUACCAUACAUAUGAUGGCAAGCGGAGAGAUCAAAAUGGUACUGCCACUUACUGCACACAUCUGGAAUACAGGUAUAUGAACUUGACUACAGAAACUGUAGGAUACUCAAUAAAAGGUUCCACAAAUUGUGCCUCCCCUUUCUUGAGAUGUUACUUGCUGUUCUUGGGUUCCAUCCAUCCUUUAUAUUCCCUUCACUUUUCAUACGACUAAUAUUUCAGAUGUAACGGAAAGCUAACUGCAUGCUAUUUGUUUGGAAUUCCCCGAUCCAUCUCCCUGCAGCUUUGAACCAGAAGAUAAUGUCCUUGGAGGUCACAGAUCUUUGGAUAGAAGUACAUCUGUUGAAUACCUCAGAGGUCACAGAAGAUAAUAAUGUCCUUAGCGUAAGAUGAAUACCAGAAGCUGCUUAAAGACGUUGCCUUUAACUGGUGCAAUUAUCCCGUGUGAUCCACGAGUCAACACCAAUGAGUCUUGGUUUUGAUCUCGCUCCAGAAACCAUAUCAGAGGAAGCCAAAGAAGAUUCAUCCGGCGGUUUCCAUCAAACAGAGACCACUAUGGCAACUUUCCCACCCGUCUAAUGUUGGCAUUUGUGGCUGCAAAGAUGGCUGAACUUCAAAUCCUUUGUGAACUUUCCCCAUCAAGUACCGGCUUACGCCUCCCACUUUCUUGAGACGUUUCUAGUGCCUCUUUGGUACCAUCCCUCUUCUUUUUUCCCUUAACGAUUUAUAUGACCAAUAAGCUCAGAUGUAACAGAAGGGAGCUGCCUCCAUUUGUUUGGAGUUCCCUAAUCCAACGGCAUGCAGCUCUGAAACAGAAGAUACUAUCCGCAGAAUUACACACAUUUUGGUUUUCCUACUUCGGAUGGAGGUGCAUCUGUUAAAUCCCCCCCACGAGAAAUGAGAAAAGAAUACUAAGUCAACUGAACUAGCAACACUGGGGUCUACUUUCCAAUGUAGGAUAAAUACCAGCUUAAAAACACCCUUGUAAUCGAGAGCUCAGCACCAGUGAGUCUUGGCUAUGAAAUGGCUUCUGAAAAUAUAUCAGAUGGAGCUAAAAGGCAUGAGAACCAAAAAGAUCUAUCCAGCAGUCUGCAACGAACAGACCACUAUUAUGGCAACUUUCCCACCCUCCUCGAGUUGGUAUUUGUGCUUGCAAAGAUGGCUGAACUUCAAAUCCUUUGACCUUUGCCCAAAGUACUGACCAUUUACGAGGACACUUGUAUUCUUCAAGUGUAGCAACUUGGAGAUGAAGAGGAACUAGAUAGACACGGCACCUGCAACUUGGUUCCAUUCUGAGGCCAAAAAACUACACUUUCUGUAAGUUAUUUGUGCCAAACACUCUGGAACAAUAUACAUUUUUUGACUUGUUCCACCCGAUAAAAUUGCAUCGAUUUAACAUUCAGUGUGGUGUCAUGAAAAAUGCGUGGAACUCAAGUUAUCUGUGAUCUCUUUCGUCCGAGAUUGUGAUCGUAAUAAAGUUCAUAUUUCCGCCGGAGUUUGGUUCUGGCAUUCUGCACUUAUUGAUCUGAGUAUUUCUUCUAAUCUUGAGGGGAAUCACACCUUAGAUCGCUUCAGAUACACCAUAACUCCAAUGCUUGUUACUGCAAUGGUUCCUGCUAAAAUUCCAGCUCUAAGUGAUGUCCAUUCAUUUCUCUGCAUUGUGGAAAUACCUGACUUUGAACUUAGAAUUAUCUUAUUGGUCCCUGGGUCAUCAAUGUGCAGCCUUAAAACCUGAAUAAUCAAACGGUACAAGAAAUGAGAAAGCCUCACUUACCAAUUUCAUUGAACAGAUCCAAUUUAAAGUGAGAAGCAACUGUUAGUGCUCAGUACUAAAGCACUAGUGGAAGAACAAAAAUUUUAUUCUACAAGACGCAGCACCAGACUCACAUCAUCAAUGAAGUCAUUGUUUAGAGUAUCAGGACUGACCAACUUCCUUCCCUUCCUAAUGUCCAACAAUCUUUAUUUGCAAUAAAUGAAGGAACUAUCACUCUUAAAUCUAAAUCAGCAAAGAUAUGCUAAACACAUUUAGCAGACUGAUUCCCUUUUAUUACUUAAGCAAUGGCAUUCCACAUAUACAAAUGUCACAUUAAGCUAUGUAAGAAAAGAGUAUCGCAGAGCUGGACUAAUAUGGAUAUUUAUGUCAAUACAAAGUUACCACGAGAGAAAAUACGAUGUAUUGGGACAUGCAAGUACACUAAAAUACAUGAGAAAAAGAUCCAAUAAAUGAGUAUAAUUUCUUAAAUGAAAGACAGAAUAUGCUACCACAGAUUGGUGAUCAAUAUAGUAUUCAAAUAAUUCUACAGAUCUUUAUCAUUUGAGAAGAUGGACCCGGAUCUUUAUCACUAGAAACUAAUGAAACUUGACCCUAAAGAGCCAAAAAUAGUGACUACAUCGAAACUGCUAAAGUUGUCACAAACUGAACAUAAAAGUAAAGUCCUUAGAAUCAAAUACACCAUAUUAAAUGCAUUGCUCUGAGGUUUCGGGUUUCGUUUCCAUGAUAAUGUUGAUGAUUUGAUCAGAGAAGAAGAAACAAUUACCUUCCAUCCAGUUAAUUUUGCAUGGUUUAUUGCUCCAACAAGACCAUCAUCGGAGGAGAGUAGAACUUUAUCUCCUUCAUUGUCUUCAUACUCCAUCAUACGCAAUGAUCAAAUCUCAGACCAGCAAAAGGAAAACAAACUUACCAAGAGUUUAAUUCUGCAUUUAUCACCAUCAAGCCCAAGUCUCUAGGUUACAGCCGAUACAAGCUCAACUAGAGUCUUCGUACCUAACAAGAGAAAAGGGCAUACACAACGAUCACAUAUUUGAUGUUUGUCAGGAGUGAAGUAAUAACCCUACUUCUGAUAAAAAUAAUCUUUAUUGUACUUACCACAUUUGAAUCUAUGCAUAUGUCACUUUUGGUCUUUAAACUUGAAGGCAAAUGAAUUUCCAAAGAGAGGAGGAUACAUAUUCUUGGCCUCUGCAUCCUCUGAUGUCAUCACAGCAGAUAGCUCACUGGCAAAGAGAAAGUUGGAUUCUCAUUUAGCCUGCCUACUAGGAAAAUCCAACUUGACAAGGAACCAAGAAGAUACCUAUGUGUAUCAUAUUCCUGAUAUCCUGUCUCCAGAGCAGAAGCAGAAUCCCAGAACUUCGCUUCACAAUGUCUACCACGCCAUUUAUAGCUCCAGUAUCUCCUUCAACCUACAAGUGGAUAUAGUUCUUUUAAGUUAGCACAAAAGAGUAUUUUGGUCAAGAUAAAGAUACUGCUACCAUAUCAGAAAUCAUGUUACGAUAAACACCAGGAGACACUAAAACUCUUGUACAUGUUCUGCAUAAACGUGGAACAUUAAAAAAAUACCUUGCUUCAAUACAUGCAUGUGAGCAACUUGACUGUUGAUAACAAGGUCUUUGGAUCAAAUCUUAUCUUCAUGAUUUACCACUCGAAAAGAAGACAUGUAUGUUAUGCAUGCAUAGUAUAAAUCAGUAAUUAAUAUAAAAAAUCUAAACCUAGAUUUUGAAAGAUUUUUAAUAUGACAAACAAUAAGAUAUGACUGAGAUGCUAGUCACCGUCUACCUCCUUUACCCCUGUUUAAUGUAGAACCAUUGCCUCAAGAGAACAAUUUUCAGACAUGACAGAGGUGACAUGGCACAAAACUUAAAGCCUUGAGCCAAUUUCCUAGGAUUUUACCGUUUAUGAGAUUCUGUAUCUGCAUCAAUACCCAGUGUCCAAUUAUCUGGUAUAUUUACUCUUGGUGAACUGGAGUGUACAGGUAACAAACCAUCAGGAUUAAGGUCUUGCUGGCACUUAGUAUGUAUGGUUGGCACGGUAUCCAUGCAACAUAAGAAGCAAAAAAGAGCAUUUUUAAUUCUUAAUUUCUUUGCACCAAGUUUCGGAAGCCUGAAUUUGCAUGGCUAUGCAUUUGCAUUCCAGACAUGAAGAUAUCUCAGAAUUUUAUUGUUAUAGAGAAGGUUAUUACAUGAAAAUAAAUCCAGAUCCCAACCAUUCGAUUUAAGUCAACUAAAAGUUAGCAGUCUAGUAUAGAAAUAAAAAAAAUUAAACAAAUUUAAUUAUUUUGGACACAAGAUUAGAGAGGUAUAACUUGGUGACACUUACUUACCAUCAGGAUCACAGCACUGGUUACUUGAAGAACAUCCAAACAAGCAACAACAUGAUCUUCUGUGAUAUAAGCAGGUUGGAUAAAUGAAGCAUAGAAAUUCAUCAUCGAUGAAAAGCAAAAGCAAAUUACCUCUGCUUAGCACUGGAAGAUAUAAAAAAUUACUGUCACGCGUUAGAUGCAAUGCCUCAAGAAUAGUCAUCUCCAUUGUAGCACACUCAGUGUUUGCAGUCAUUACCUUUGCAUCUCAAAAAUGACUCAUGGUUAGUAAAUAUCCAGAUUUCGUGGAACAAAAUCAGAAGCAAUAAAAAUAUCAUAUAAGAAAAGUUAACAGAACACAAUUCAAUAUUAAGUCACAGUUAAAUGUCACUUAAUCAAAAUUUAAUACUAUACUUUGACUUUUCCAGACAACUUAGAGAAUUUAUUUCAUACCUCAUACAUGAGCUAUACGAUCAUCUAAAGAAAGAACUUUGCAAAAUGAGUUCAGCAGAAGAUACCUUUUCUAAUGGAGUCAGUUCAGGAGAAAGAUGUUGAGCAACUACACACAUAACCACAUCCUUUGAGCUGCAAUAUGUUGCAUUUGGGCAGACAUCAAUAAUCACUAUGAAGCAGUGGCAACAGAAAGGCAACAGAAGUGACAGUACUACAGCAAGCGAGCUUCAAAUGCAAAAAAAAGAAAGAAAGAAAGAAAAUCCAAGAAAGGAACAUACGUUAGAACCCCUUGAAGCCCAUUUCUGGUUGCAACAAUGACCGAGUAAACUUGGAAUUCAAGCAUCUUUUUUGUGGCAACAUAGACAGAAUCUGAAGGAGAUACUAGCACAACCCUGAAUUUAGAGAUAAUUAGAAAGCAUAUAAAACCAUAUUCUUGCUAAAACAUAUGGCAUCAAACAAUUGUGAUUCACCAAGCGCUACAUAUUUCUGAAAAAAAUGCAACUAUACCUCACAUUCUCUGAGAUGAUAGUUGACAGAACAGGAUUACAUAUAUUUUGGUGAAGAGCUUCAGUGAAUGUAUAAGGAACUGCAGCCAGGAACAAAUUCAUAAAGUUACUAAAUUCAAGGACUGAUAACAAAUGUGUUCGGGAUUAAUCUAAGUUCCAUCUUUCUCUGUUCACCAAUAAAAUGAUUCAAGGACUAAAUUACAUAGAGAUUAAUCUUAAAAGAACCAAACAGUCUUUCACUUGACAUAGGAGCUGAUGAUUAAGUCUGCUAGUUUGAAUAUGAUAGUUAAAAGGCUUUCCAAGACAUAACAAAAAAGGAGCUACAAGAUAUUCUACUUCCCUACAUAAAAUAAUCGUUUUAUGGUCAGUAUACCAUCAAAAUGAAUUAUUAGCACCGUCCAGUAUCAGUCUAUGCUAGAGAGGUUAGAACUCAUCUCAUCCUUUUUCAUUGUAUAAUCACAUUUCUGUCUUUACUGGCAAGUAAAUAUAGUGUGCGCAAAAGAUAUUAUGCUAUGAAUGCCACAAGCCAUCCUAUUCUAAUCCACAAAGUAAAUCUGCUGACCUGAAAAUUUACUUUCCAUUUGACUUUCAAGACCCUUGAGUGCAGCUGUUAUAGCAUUGCCUUGCUCCAUAGCCUUUUCUAUUCUUGAAAUAGCAUCAAACAGGCACUUAGCAAUGUUCAACAUGGCAAUAACCUCACCAUUUUCUACAACUGGAAGGUGCUUAAAUUUUCCUGUAGAAAUGAAAUAUGGAAAGGAAAAGGAUUAAGUAUCAUGAUGGAAUACUUGUUGUAAUAGCUAAGAAAAAAAUUAUAAUACACUUGGGUUCAUGAGCUUGAUACUAAAUUUUGAAUUGAUCAAAAAGAUGCAAAAUACUAUGACGCAUAACAAAAUUGUUUUGUAUAGCAGAACAUGUCUCCAAACCCACAGCGUCUCAUGACAUUAUCUGAAAAUUGCUUACAGGGUUCGAGGGUUUCAACCUUUCAAUCAGAAACCAAAGUCAUCACUAACAGAACUGUCAUGGUUUUGUCAAUGCAAGAGUCUCACAGGUUUCAAGAGAUUCUGAGUCAGACAAAAAAGAAAGUUCUCAACUGGAAAACUGAUUCUUGCAACAAAAUCUCUUGCUUCAACCUUUUAUUGACAGUGGCAGCAUCUAAAUUCUUCUAAUUCCAUCACAUAACUAUGAAAUUUAAAGCCAACUAUUAUACUGCAGAUAAAUCCACAGAAGGCCUUUGGUAGAUUAAUCAGGGAUCUUAAUACUAUUCAUAUAGAGUGAGUUUGGCUAGUCAUAUAUUUGGAUGCAACUUUUCAAGUAACAACAACAAAGAACAAGCCAAUGUAUUUUAAACAUCUAGGCUGUCAAGCAAAGUAAAACUUAUUAUGUUGUUUUCUUGUACGUUUCCUAUGACAAUUUACGGGAUUGUCAGCAAGCAUCCUACCAAAGAUUCUGCAGAAAUUAAAUUAAAGAUCGAACAAGAAAGGGGUACCUUGAAUCAUCUUCUGCAAUGCCUCGAUGGCCAGCGUAUCUGCCAUGACGAACGUUGGGUUCCUAGUCAUAAUCUUUGAAAUGAUCGUCUUCUCUGGGUCCAAACCCUCUGCUACAACCCUCGUCGCUACAUCCUAUCCGGAAAAUAACACCAGAAAAAGAACGCAGCCAAUCAACCUCAACUCACGAGAUAACGCAAUCAUGUCAAGAGAAAUGAGACAACCUUAGCGGUCACAAUACCAGAGAGAAACUCAUUGGCAUCCGUCAGCAGAACGGCAUCCACCCUACGAGCAGCCAAUCUCAGGCACGCCUCAGAAACCGUCGUCCCCUCGGAGAUGAUCAGGGCUUUCGACAACCUCAGCCUCUUCACCCUCCUCUCCCCCCUGUUCCAACUCGAUCAUCAACGGAGAUGAUUGAUCAAGAAUCAGCAGAUCAACGAGCAAUAAAGACGAUGCUUACGAGGCUCGGUUAGUGGACGCGGGUUUGGAGAAGCUCCCGUAGGGUGAGUUGCCGCCGUUGCCGCUCCUUCCCGGAACCGGGAUCUGCACACGGUGCGCGACGUCGGUGACCAUCGCAGCGGAAACCCUACGAAUUGGGGCGGAGAAAGAUGAGAUCGGAAGAGAGAGAAGAGAGUAGAAAGGCGGGCAGUUUUGGGUUCGACUCGUCUCCUAUUUAAACAGCCACUCCCUCGCUCCUCCAUCUCGACCCCAAUAUAACGGUUCGCGAUCAUUAUACCGGCCGUUAUUAUGACUCAAGCGAAACGUGUUAUAUAUUAGGCGGACCGUUACAACGGCUAUUAUUUUGACUUCAGUCAAACAAGUUGGAGAUUAUUGACCGUUUAUUUUGACUUCACUUCAGUGAGACACGUUAUAGUAUCGGACACGAUUUAUAUGCAUGAAUGAGUUGCAUUUACGUUCUGAAAGAUAUGAUUACCAUAGAUUAACGUAUCAUACGUGACAUGUUAUCGUCCACAUUAUGCCCCAAAACGCAUGAAUGACAAAUAAGGAAUGUGAUCACGUAACAAAUCACUUCAAUCAUACAAUAAAUAAAGAAGGCGAUCAUGCAAUCAAUUCCUUUCAUCGUCAUGUAACCAAUCGGGAAGGUGACUAUUCAAACAUAAGAAAUGAAUCGAAUGCAAUGAUCAUCGAGAAAUCCUUUGACACAAUUACAAAUCUAGCCAUUAAGAAAUAUAUUUCAAUUAUGAUUUUAUUUGAUUCUUAAAUAGUUCAUCGAAUCGAGCCUUUCAAAACACAUGAAUUUUCACUCCGAUCAUUCAAUGAAUUCUUCUAAUCGUAUAACAAAUGAAUCUAUCUAAUCAUGUAACAAACGAGGAAGAUUGUAAUUGUACAUCUACUAUCAAUUCCUUUUAUUAUGUAACAAAUCAGGAGAGUGAAUAUAAUCACCUUCAAGUAUUUAUUACAGUCCCUAUGAUUAUGAAAUCUAGUCGAGUAGAUCUUUCGUCACACAACAAAUUAAUCAAAAUUUAUGUAAUAAUAAUAAUAUUAUUAUUAUUAUUAUUGUAGCUUUCAUUGCAAAGAUCAAUGAGGCUAAAUUGGUCAGGCCGACUUGCGUUCUACGCGGGCCAAGACAGGAUUCAGGGCCUACCUGAAAGCAUUGCACGAGAGUGGAUCAGAACCGUUCAUUUCCUUUGUUAUCCAUUAUCUGUGAUUACCCAGGUGGGUCUGCUGGGUCCCAGUGGCUGCCAGUUAUACUUGUACAGGGGAGGUAGGUGAGACGAGUAGGUAGCAAAGAGUAUUAGGAAAUCGCGACGGUUCGGAGCUCCCCGCCAAGUCACCACCAAUACAUUCUACCGAUACAUCCUAUUCCCGCCCGCUCGCGUGCCUUUACCUCCCAAAAGCGCCGCAAGUCUUCGAAUAAACCUCCCUUCAACCCCGCAUUCUUUGCUUCCUUGUUCCUCACGCCUCCUCUGCUGCUGCUUCGUUCGAGCUCUCGAACGACGGCCUCCCUUUCGGCUUCCGAAGAUAGCUGUUCUCGGCAAGGGGCCUUGUUCUUCCGGUGGUGUUCGUGCGUGGAUUCGGUGGCGUGGGUGGAUGAUGGAGAUGUACGAGCUGGUGAAGGACAUCGGAUCGGGCAACUUUGGGGUCGCGCGGUUGAUGAGGAACAAGGACACGGGCGAGCUUGUUGCCAUGAAGUACAUCCCCCGAGGCCCCAAGGUUCGAUAUUUGCUUCCGUUUUCUUCUUCCGGUAUGGUGCCGAUCGAAUCCCCUGAUUGCGGUGUCGUUCCGUCCCAUUACGGGUGUCGCAGAUCAACGAGAACGUUGCGAGGGAGAUAAUCAACCAGCGGUCGCUGAGUCAUCCCAACAUCAUCCGUUUCAAAGAGGUCGAAUUUUCGAGCGCUAGAAAGCCCUAAUCGCGUCGCCUUAAGAGGGUUUGGGUAGUCAAUUUGGCUCGUUGUUCUUUUGACCGCAGGUGAUGCUGACGCCCACGCAUCUGGCAAUCGUGUUGGAAUACGCCGCCGGCGGAGAGCUCUUCGACCGCAUCUGCCACGCCGGAAGAUUCAGCGAAGAUGAGGUUCUACUUUCUUCCUCAAUGUUUCCUCCGUUUUCUUUGGGUAGCAAGCAAGCUCUCAAUUUCUUCAACACAGUCUCCCAAAUCGCUUUCUUAACCUUCAGCUGCGGCGUAUGCAGGCGAGAUAUUUCUUUCAGCAGCUCAUCUCCGGCGUCAGCUACUGCCAUUUCAUGGUAAAACCUCCCCUCAAAAUCACAUUUUCAGUCCAAAAAAAAGUAAUCUUUCUCCGAGAUCGUACGACGAUUACAAUUGUUCCAGCAAAUCUGCCACCGGGAUCUGAAACUGGAGAACACCUUGCUCGACGGCAGCCCGGCGCCGCGCCUCAAGAUCUGCGACUUCGGUUACUCCAAGGUUACCGAUCCUUCUUUCGUCUCCUAAUCCAUUUCCGAGUCAAUGGCAAUUCCUCUAUCCAACAAAAAUGUGCCUUUUGUCUUCAUGUGCGCGUGAAACAGUCGUCGCUGCUUCACUCCCGCCCCAAGUCGACGGUGGGCACGCCCGCAUACAUCGCCCCCGAAGUCCUCUCGCGGCGUGAGUACGAUGGCAAGGUCAGCCCCGCAUCCAUUCCUCUCUCUCCUUCCUCUCUCUUCCUCCGCGUUCUGCUUUCCAUCUCGAAAGGGCCCCGAGGGGAUGCGGACGACGACUCGCUGCGGCGUGUACACACCGGAGAAUCAUCAGUAAAGAUGAUCUUGUCGCAGACGACGUCCACCCGGCUGCGUGGGGCCCCGGUGGUGGUUGGUGCAGAGCUGUGCUUGGCAUUUUUAGGAGACAGAACAUGGUGAUCGUGACUUGCAUUGAAGACGAAGCAUAAUCGCAUUGGGUUCGCUUGACCAUUAAUCUAUCUUUUGAUGCUCCCUUUUUUGUUCUCUGUGCUGCAGUUCUCCUCUGUAAGCUGAUUCUAAUUAGUGUAUUUAAUGGUGCAGAUGGCUGAUGUGUGGUCCUGUGGGGUUACUCUGUACGUGAUGCUCGUGGGAGCAUAUCCCUUUGAAGACCCAGAAGACACCAAGAAUUUUAGGAAAACCAUGACGGUAGUGGUUAUAGCUCUUAUCCUCUCCUCCAUCGUCUCCUUCUUCGAUGUUCUCAUGUCUUGUUUGGACCGCAGAGGAUCAUGUCAGUGCAGUACACAAUACCCGAGUACGUCCAUAUUUCAAAGGAUUGCAGGCAACUGCUCUCCGGGAUCUUUAUGGCCGACCCAUCGAAGGUAGUUUGGUCCUCCAAAGCCUCACGGUAGAAUCUGAUUCAGAUGUUACCGUAAUGGAUUGACUUGCUGCUGUUUUAUCCAGAGGAUAACGAUUAGGGAGAUAAGGCACCACCCCUGGUUCUUGAAGAACUUGCCCAGGUCGCUGACCGAAGCAGCACAAGCUAUAUACUACAAGAGGGACAACACUGCGCCUACCUUCUCUCUUCAGAGUGUGGAUGAGAUAAUGAAGAUUGUUGAGGAGGCAAGGAUAACUCCGGGCUCGCCUGCUCCGGCAGCAGGCUUUGCCUGGGCCAAGGAGGACGAGCUGGAGGAAGGCAAGCACGAGAACCAAGAGACUGGAGUGGAAGAAGAGGAAGACGAUGAUGAGUACGAUAAGAGGGUCAAGGAAGUCCAUGCCUGCGGAGAGUAUCCAAUCAACUGACGGCAGCAACUCAUCUUAUCUUAUCUUACUAUAUAUACAUAUAUAUAUAUAUACAGAUAUUGGAUUUCCCAAUUAAACUUAUUGGAAUUCCUGCUGGUUAUAGAAUAUAAGGAGGAUGUUUGUAUACUCGAUACUUAGAUUAUGAAAGCCAAUGUAAUUGUCUUUUCUUGUAACAUAGAAAUUUGCCUGAAGCAAGUGAUCUCUAAAGGUGUUUAUUUGGGAGGUGGAUGUGUAGGUUUUGAGCAUCUCACAGCCAGCUGCUACUCAUCAGAUAUCUUGUUGAAACUGUGAUGGUGGAUGGUAAGUUCUCAACAUCCCACAGCUAGCAGAUGUACUCAUUAGAAGUCUUGCCUGUGUCAGUCAAUGAUAAGCAAGCAGGAGGAAUGCCUAAAGACAAGCAUGUGAAGAGCAAAUGAGACUUGAUGUUUGUAGACACACUGGAAACAAGGUUGCAGCACAUCAACAUCAUAUGUAGGUGAAGUUGCAGCCCAAACAUCAGUGAUAGAUUGAGCUACUUCUGUCAACAGUGCUAUAUAAAGGCCUUUAGGUGAGCUGAACGAGUGAGAGAGAGACGAUCAUCACUUCUUUUUGGUUCUUCUACCUUUUGAGACAAUCCAUGAUUGAAAGAGAGCUCAUCGGAGAACAUGGAAUCACACGAUUCAUGAGUUCUAUUACAUUCUUUGAUUUCAGAAACCUAAAGCUAAAUCUAAUGGUAGUUGCGCUGUCCUUAUUCUCCUCCGACAUGCGUCAGCCAUUUUACCGCACGCACAAAAGCUUCACGGAGCAGGCACGUACGGGCAUGCAAGGAGAGACGGCAAAGGCAAGGCUCAGACCACGCAUGCGUCGCCCACCAAGUCUUACCCAUGCCAAGCCCCUGUUGCUCGACAGUGCCAGCUUUGGUGGUGAAGAGGCAGAAGAAGACAGACGAGCUGCUGCAGAAUUAUCAUGGCCAGCGACGAUGACUGAUGCAGACAGCUCGGCCUUCAAAUCUACAACACAUGUAUGCUAUUGCUUUGCUGAUCAGAAUACCCAUGGAUGAGUUCCUUAUCCAGCUGUGAGUGAAAAGAUGAGCACGAAGAUGGAUCAAAGUUGAUGCUCGUGGAGUAAAAUAAUCAAACACCUUGCUGUUCAUCUUAGAAUAAGAAUGUGGAUAAAGGUGGAGCAAUCUGGAGUUGACUGGCAGAUGAGUAUUCUGCUACCUGGCAUCGCAUUAACGGGAGGUCAGUAUGCAAGAGACGGAAUGUUCUUUCGGAAUCGAGAUGUCUUUGAAGGAAGAGAUGGUUAUCAUCAGCAUUAGAUGCUCCAUCUGACGCCCACCUUCAAUGGCGUGGCUGCCCAUGUCGCCUGGCGGUAGGUUAGGAAGCAGCAGCAGCAGUCAUAUAAUUUGAUGGUGCCCUCCUCACUUUCCUAAUCGUCAUCAAACAAUUCAGCACCACUUGUCUCAGUCCUUUGGGGAAGCAGAUGAAGUGAAAGAGACAGACAUGCAUGUAGUCAUCUUUUUGACCCGUAAGUAGUGAUCCAUACACACACUAUUUUUGCCUAAAAAUAUUAUAUAUAUAUAUAUAUAUCCACCGGCAUCAGCUUCUGGCCGCCGAUCAGGUCGCAGAAGGCCUACAAGAAGGCGGCUCGGCAGCAGAGUCGGUGGCGAUUCCGCAGACACAUAUUUGAGGAAACGUCUCAGAGAAAAUCUCUGCAAAGAUGAGCAGCAGACUCGUCCACCACAGCAGCAGCAGGAAAAAGGAGGAGGGGUUAGCCCUUCGUCUCCAUAGUCGGCCUCCAAGUCCGUGAGGGGGACCAGCAGCCUCCAAUUGCAACAGCUGCCGUCGAGCGUCCUGCCUCCGGCUGCAAUGUGGGCGGUUGCCCCAAAUAACGGAGCUGGGCUCCGUUCUGGAUGCUCCCCGUCACGGCAGGAUCAGCGGGCCCAAGCACCACUACAGUUCAUGCCACAGCCAACGAGCGGCCUGGUGGCGCAGCAUCCUGGGCUGAGCACGUCGGAGACUAAUCGGCGGAUGCUCGCGGCAUUCAAUGCUUAUCGUAGAGGUGGUGGCCGGAGCAUGAAUUCUGAGCACCACCAGCCGAUGAAUCACCAUCACCUAGUCCAACCCCCUACCUGUCAUCAACAAGGUGCAGACAGCAGAGAAGACCACCAAACCAGCUCAGAGUUUGCAGUGUCAAAAGAAGAUUAUCUGUUCAGGAACAAAUAUUUCAGCUUGUCAAUGAAUCUCUUCUUGGUUCUUUUCCUUCUGUGCAUCCAAGUGGUUCCACUUCUCAUCCCUGCAUUCAUAUGGUGUAUCUUCUUUUCUAUGUUCACGUUCAUGAGGGUCUCCAUCUCCAAUGAUUACAGUAUUCUGAGCCACCCGAUUGGUUAUAAUCCUAUUGCAUGGAGAUUAAUGACAAGAAUUAUGUACACUAAGUUCAAAUUGGCUUCAAAAAUCAAAACAAUACUAUUAGUGAUUUGAUUGAUAAACCAAGAAAGAUACACAUAGAAAGAUGUUGUAAUGUUGUAAUUUCAUGUUCAUUGGCUUGGACUAAUGUAGAAUCUUCAUUCUUGCUGAGAACUUGGUAUUUUACAUUGUAGUUAUUAAAAGCUUCAAGGUAUAUUGGUUUCUUUCUUAUUUAUAUUGUAAUAAUAUUAGUGUUCAAUUAUAGAAUUCAUUUAUACAAUACUCAGUUCUUCAUUUGAGUUUUCUUAAGAUCUUAAGCUUUUGGAACUGUUGGUAACUAAUCAAUCAGACAUUUAUCAGCAGCAUUGGCAGUGUCUGAAAUCUAAGUUAUAGAAAGGAUGUUUAGGUUUGUCAUGUGAAGCUGUUCUGUGAUGAUGAAGAACAUUUACCAAAAGAUACAGCACUGCUGGAUGGAUAAUAAUCUUCUUCCUGGAAGAUUGCCAAUAAUUUCAAGUUUUGAUCAUAAUGUGGACAGAGUUAUGUUAGGUUAUAUGCAAUGAAAGAAAAAAUAUUUAUCUUUUUCUUUAUUAUAGAAGAUUUCAGUAUGAUUAAGGGUUCAUAUUACCUAUUCCUUAGACAUAAUAGGCAGUAAACGUUGGAAUCAUCACCUACAAAUGUUUCAGAAGGGACUGCCUCCCUGUUCUAAUAAGAGAUAAUAAUUGUUGUUGUUCUUCCGAGAAAUUAAGCAGUCAGAUGAGAGAUUGAUGUUAUUCUACUGAUGAAUCUGCUUAUCUAAACUCUUUGCAGAUGAAUCUGCAAGGACGACUACCGUGCAGCAGAUGAUUGCAUUCUCUAAAUUCUUUCUUCUGUUUCCUUUCUGAAGUCGGAGGACCAAAAGAUUACAAUUCAUUGGAGGCAGCAAGUACUAACAAAUCCACUGCUAGAGCAAUUCAGAAGAGGUAAAUGAUCUCUAGUUGGUGCUUGAUGCAUAUAUCCUGAAUGAAUCAGAUUUUUGAUGUAUCUGCUGUUCCUUCCUAGAAUCAUUCCCAGCAGGUGAUAGUUAUGUACCAGUGAUGGUGUUUAAUAAAAAAUGAGAUCCAUGACAUAUCCUUUUCUCUCUUCUGAAGGCAACUUAAUGUUUGCGAAACAAAGUUUUUUUUCCCCUUUUAAUUUUUUUGAUGAAUUAUUAAAAAUUUGAAUUGUUGUCACUUGAUAGCAGAAAUUGGUGUUAUCAUUUCUGUUUACAUAUUGGAAUAAUUUACUUUCAUUUGAUGGAAAUUGAUAGGUAUUGAAGUUCCUCAGUGGUUGCUGUGGUCAAGCAAGAGGAUAAACAACAAAGCAUACAGAGAACUUUCAGCCUGUAAAAUCUCUCCCUCUUCCCUUUCCUCCUUCCAUCUUCCAUCUCUUAUUUCCUUCCUAGUGGCAACCAUGAGUGGCUGCUCAAGGAAAUUGCUGUAGUGCCUCCUCAUUCUCUAUCUUGUCCUUUAUGUACAGUUCAAAAGUCCUCAUCAUGUGACGCAGCUUUUCUAAUACCAACCACUAACUCAGUCUUAAGUUCCUUCUAAUUAACAUGAAAAGGUUUUUUUACUCCAAAGGCAGAUUGUGGCAGUAGAAUCCAUGGAUGACACCUUCACGAAUGUAAGUCAAACUUUUCUGAUUCCUACUAAUUUCUAUCGGUUCGGAUUCUUCGUUAAAUCUCCAUCACCAAAAUCAUCUUAACAUCUCUAUCUUGAACCAAUCCUGAUACAAGCUUUGAGUCACAAAACUCAUCUAAUGUCACCUGUGCAGGGAAAUGAAGAUGUGGCUGCUCUAGAUGGCAUCGGUCGCAGUUCCAAGACCAGUAUGCAAACCUUCACUAUCUGUUUGUACAUGUGCGACCAAGACCAGUACGCAAACCUUCACUAUCUGUUUGUAUAUGAUCAGUGAUUCUAAAGUAAAAUCCCAAUACUGACACAAAACUGAGGAUCUUGCCUAGAACAGAUGCAUGCUAUAGAGGCCAUGUCUGCAAUUAAUGCAAAGAUAAUAAGAACAAAGAAGGCGUAACAAUGGCACAGUUCAAGUAGCACUUCUUCAUAGUAGUGCUGGCUUGAAUUCUAAGUGAAAGAUUAGGAUGAAGAAGUAAAUUGUAGGACAAAAGCAGUCUGCCUGCAGAAGUUUCAUGCCACACUGAGGGUAAUGGGGUUAGCCAUUCAAGCAUUAAAUAUCUUAGACAGCAACCAAUAGUUCUAUCCUCACUUUCUUCUACCUUGUACUUCCCCAGAAACAUGGGUUUGGUGAUGAAGAUCUUUCAACCCAAAAACCUUGGCUGGAAAUGACGGUUGGGAAUGCACAUGCCUGUGCUGUGAUACACUCAUGCAUGAGGAGGCAGAGGUUGGUGGAGCUUUACAAUAUAAUUGAGACCCAUAUCAGUCGGAUUGGUUGGUGCGGUACCAAGUUUUUGGUUGAUUCCUCAUCUGGUAGGUUUCCACAAUGAAUGCCUUCUUUGUGUCUGGCCUAUGAUUGCAGCACUCGGUUUCAGAAAACAGAUGUUGGUGGAUGCAUUCUACAUAGUCGCAUGUAACUCAACCACAGAGAAUUGAACCCCUGGUGCAUCUGGUAACCUGUCAACACUUGCAUCAAACUGUGGCUGAUCCAAGGAACAAUGUUUUUGUACAUCAGCAGGAUCAUUUAUUUCCCAGUAUUAGCUUCUUGUCAUGGAUUGUUCUACCUUAUCAACCUCAUUAGCCUGCCUUCAAUAUAAGGUUGAGUUUGUGCAGGGGAAGCAAUCUGAAAGAUUCAUCAUGAGGGUCCUAAAUCAGAUGUGGCAGCAACCAUCAGCUUAAGGUGAAUUAGCACACAGCCUUUACAUAUAGAUAACCAAAACAUCAUUUGUUUCUCUUGAUAACAACAAUUUAUUUUCUGUUCCCCUGUGCAGUCCAAAUCUUUUUCAUGGAAAUCAAAAGCAAUCUCUUAUUUAUGCAUGCACCCACCUGGUGUACAGUAACUGAGGAGAAAAUUUUGGUUGAGACCUUGUGUCAUCAGCUGGUCUUCCCACAACAAUUAUUUGCUGCUACAAUGACCAGUGCAGUGACAGUCAAGAUAUUCUAGUUGUCCUUGGAAUGUGGGUAUAUAAUCCAUAAGCAGUCAACAACACAAACCAACCACAGUGAUUAGGUGAGGUAGAACCAAAGCCCCAACAGUCCUCUCCUCUCUCUAGAAGCCCUCCAACCCCCUAGCCUUCAUUGUGAUGAAUAAGGCAUGGUCCAUUUGGAUUGAGACCAUUGGGGAUGGUUCCAUCAACUGGCAUUCCUUUCCCAUCUUUCCUUGUUUCUUUCAGUCCUACAGAUUGAGAAGCUGGUGAAUGAGUCAAGAAAAGGUGGCUAAGCUCUGGAAGGAAGUAAAGAAACUUCUGGUGCCCUUCCUUCCUCUCUUAAGCUUAUUAGGAAGGUCAUGAAUGAGCCACUUGGUUCAGAGUAAAAGCUGUCAUCUUUUGAAUCUUGUAGGGUCACAUGUGCCAACUUUUCUUGUUUCCUUGAAGCUGGAUCACAGUCCAAUUGAUGGAUGGAUAUCUACAGGGAGACUGGAAGAGUGUACUGGUGCAGAUGGGCAUUGAGUGAGUGCAAGUACACAACCUGCUGCUGGAGUCAAGACUCUGGAACAUCUCAACAUAUCUGUCAUUACUUCCCUAACCUGUUGAUUGUUCUUGUCACCCCAUCUUUCUUCUCUUCUAACUUUCUAAGAUGCUUGAUUGCCUGGCCAGUAUGCAACAGUGACUGGUAGGUGAAAAGUAUAAUAAUGACCAUGACAUUGUGUUUCUGCCCCUGCUUAUUUCUAGAGAGACAAAACAGACAUUGUUUCCAUGUGUGUACUGCAUGCAACAGGUGUAAUCUAUGAUGAAAUCAUGAGGAUGAUUUACACAUGUUUAAUCAUUAAGAUUAGUGGCAAUGGAGGUGAGCCAAUUCUCAUCAGAGGCACAUAAAAUGAAGAGAAAUAUAGAUGAAAAACUUGACCAGGGUUAACAAAUUGGACAUGAUGACAACCAUGAUUAGAAGAGAAAAGCUGACAUUAAUAAGCCUAUGACAAAAUGGUACCCUAAUUUAUUGCAUGAGAUGAGUACUAUGGUAAAUGUCUUCCCUUGCAUUCAUUAAGAGUCCAAGGAUGGGAGAGAGAAUGAAGAAAGAUGGGAGAUAUAGAAGAUGUGUAUACAAACUAGGAAGUAAAAUACCAAACACUUUUCUUUUGUGGUGAUUCAUUCUUCCUUCAUCAAUCAAUAGUUACAAACAACUUCUUUUACAUGAAAAAAGAAAAAGAAUAGUUGAUUUAUUUUUUAUUCAUGUGAUGACUAUAAAAAGGUGGAUAAAAGGUGAUCUUUGUCUGCCACAUUAAGUUUAUCAUAAGGCUCCAUUAAUAGUGUUACUAAUCAUUUAUGUUAAUUCCAACUAGAUAUUAGAGAACUGGCUAUCUCUAUCCAUGAUGAUGCACAAUAAAUUUUUAUUUGAGAUAAAUACCAUGGAAGUUUAAUGUUGGCAAACAUGAACCUAAUACAGAAUUGAAGCCAAGUUCAAAGUUGUUCAUCCAACUUUAAACAUCAAUAUCUCAGCCUACCCAAACAAUAUUUUUGUAAUUUGAAAGAAUUGAUGAACAAAGUCACAUCUUCAUACACAUGAAUGCAUAAAGAAUGUUAGGAACACAAGCUUCUCACAAAAGUAAGUCAUGGAUGACUGCAUUGGCUAAGACUGCCAAUAAAUAAGAAUAAAGUAAUUAGUAAAAAAAGAAGAAGAAAAGCUCAACUUGUUCCACAAACAAAGAGGAGAAGGGUUGGUCACCAAAUUGAUGGAUUCUCUCUCUCCACCCCUUUUGCUCCUCCUACACACAUAAGUGAGGGUUUCUAGAACCUUUGUGAGAUGGGCCAUAAAAAUAUGCAGAUUGCAACAAAAUAAUAUUUUAUUUACACACUGUGUUCUUUUCACAUAGGCCAUUGCUUUUUGUCUAUUGACAUCUCUAUACAAUUCUUUUGAUUUCUAUUAAAUUUUAGCCCUUGUCUUUAACAUCCAUUAGUUGGUUUAAGUACAAUUUGACAUUCACUAAAUAUGAAUUUAAAUGAUAUUACCACAAUGUGAAUAAAUCAUUUUUUUUAAUUUUUGGUUAUAAUAUUCUUCAUUCCUUUGAUUAAAUGUUCACUUUUUGAUUGAUCCCUUUUUUUUAUUUUGUAACAAAAAAGAGGAUGAUUUCAUUCAUAUAUGGGAAUUAAAAAUUGAUUAACAAAUCAAAUUCCAUGAAUAUUAGUGUUAUUGAGGUGUUUGGUUGUAAGUAUGAAUGCUAAAAGCAAUAAUUGCAAGUCAUGUUGUAAACAGUGAUAAAAGGAGAAUUCAUUAAUAAAUAGCUUAAAUUUAAAGGGCCAAUAUGCAAAAAAAGGCUUAUAGAACAAUUGCAGGUCAUGUUGUAAAUAGCGAUAAAGCGAUGAUUUAUUGAUAAUUAACUUAAAAUUAAAGGACCAAUAUACAAAAACGCAUUAAGAGAAUCAUGUUGUAAAUAGUGAUAAAACGAGGAUUCAUUGAUAAUUAGCUUAAAAUUAAAGGACCAAUAUACAAAAACGCAUUAAGAGAAUCAUGUUGUAAAUAGUGAUAAUUAGCUUACAAUGUAAGGACCAAUAUGCAAAACAAACAGCCGCAAACCCAGACGUACAGGUAGACCUACCUAACGAAUCCAACGCCCGGCUCUCUCUCUCUCUCUCUCUCUCUCUCUCUCUCUCUCUCUCUGUGCUUGCACAAAACUCAGUCAAAUGAUCCUCAAAGGAUGGAGUCAAUGUGCGUUCACAGCUUCCCUUCUCAUAUAAAUCCAUCCAUCCCCUCUCUCUCUCUCUUCCCUUGUUCCACUCCUUCCUUUCCAACUCAGCCUUCUUUGUCUCUAUCUCUCUCUCUCUCUCUCUCUCUCCUCCUUUGCCUCUUCCUUCUCCCAUCUCAAGCUGCAGAUCACACGGAAGCCCCACUGGUUGUGCUGGUAUGGGCAGGUCUCCAUGCUGUGAGAAGGCACACACCAACAAAGGAGCAUGGACCAAGGAGGAAGACCAGAAGCUCAUCUCCUACAUCAAAGCCCAUGGCGAAGGUUGCUGGAGAUCACUCCCAAAAGCUGCAGGUCCUCCUCUCGAGCAUCCCAUCCUGUGCUGCCACCCAGCUUUUGCUUAUGCUUCCGUGCUUGUUUGUACAGGCUUGCUUCGGUGCGGGAAGAGCUGCAGGCUCAGGUGGAUCAACUACCUCCGGCCCGACCUCAAGCGCGGCAACUUCACAGAGGAGGAAGAUGAACUCAUCAUCAAGCUCCAUGGCCUGCUCGGAAACAAGUGCGUCGCCUUCUUUGGCUUCACCGGUCGAUGACAGACCUACGUACACAACAGCUGCUGCUUCUUGUUCGCAUGCGUGUAACGUUGAUUCGUCGUUGCAGGUGGUCGCUGAUAGCGGGGAGAUUACCGGGGAGGACGGACAACGAGAUCAAGAACUACUGGAACACCCACAUCAAGCGGAAGCUCCUCAGCCGGGGCAUCGACCCCCAGACGCACGGCCCGAUCAACGGCGGCGCCACCGCUGCCUUCGCCGCCCCUCACCCAUCCGAGACCGCCGUCCCGAAAGCGUCAGCGACCGACUCCUGCGACGAGACCAACAGCAGCGGAGGCAGCCAGGACGACGACCCGGACGGCUACCUCGACCUCAACCUCGCCCUCUCCAUCAGUCUCCCCCACCGCUCCCCCAAGCGCUCCCGACCUUCGGAGCCUCUAACAUCCGCCGCAACAAGCAGCAGCCCUCAGGCCAUUUGUUUGUGUUGCCAUCUGGGUUUCCAGAGCGGCGAAGCUUGUAGCUGCCACACCACCCAAAACCCGCCGCAUGUACUGAGGGUAAUCAGACGCCUGGAAGAAGCUCAACACUAGUUGAGGUUGCAUUGUAACUCUGUGAUGAUACCUUCCCACUGUGUGGAAGUAUGUUUUGAGUUACUUUGAACUGCUGAAUCAGUGUGCAGUCUCUGUUAAAGCUAAAUGUGUUGUUAGGUGCCAAACAAAAGGAGGCCAAAGGUGAUAAGAAAUGUGUGAAACGCAGCAAGGAAUGGUGUUGGGGGCACAUCAGCUGAGGCCUUUGUCACCUAUACAAGUGUGGCGAACAUGUGAUGUGCUGUGCGUGGUAGGUUAACCUCAUCUGCCAUUAAUGAGUGGGAAGCGCAAGGGAUGGCUUGUGGGGUUUGGUUGGUUAGAGGAUGAAUGGUGUGUCUCUUGUGCAGUGUGGUGUGUGGCAGUUGGUAGGAUAUUAAUACUCCACUCUUUCUUUUUGAUGUAUCCAUAUAUAUCUUCAUGUUAGAACUGAACACACACACUUGCAUGCCAACACAAACUUGCAGAUAGGGCUUUUAGAUUUCCCUGUAAAAAUGCCAAGAAUCAUAUCAGGAAAGGUAGCAGUUGGUAGGCUAAUAAAUACAGUAGCAAAUUAAGCUGUUGGACUACAGUGUCAGGUAACUUGUCAGAUCUCUUUGGUCAAACUCUGCUCCUCCUCCUCUUCUUCUUCUUCUUCUUCUUCUUCUUCUUCUUCUUCUCUCUCUCUCUCUCCAUCUAUAUAUAUUUAUAUAUCCAAAAGUUGACAGCUCAUUGGAUGCCAGUUUAUUCUACUCUAAUUAAUGCCACCAGUCCUUGGGAGAAGAAAAAACAUAUGGGUUAGUACUGGUUAGAUAUGUGUCAGUAAUGUCAAUAAUCAACUUCACAUGCAACAGUACUUAGUUCCUGAAAGCAUCUAUUGAUUAACUAUAGUAUCCACUUGUCGGCCAUGGUACUAAGCUCCAAUUAUCGAGUAGCUUUCACUCCACAGCACACAUUUAAUUCUAGCAGCUGGUGGUACUAUUGCACUUCACUUGAGGAACUGUCGUUGAAUCGAUCAGCGGAAAGAAUGUAGAACAGAAAAAAAAUGAGGAAAAAGAAGAUGAAUCCACGUAUCAGAAGCUAUUAUACCACAAAUCAUGCAUGCAACCAUUGUGCUGUGGUGGUUUGGUUCACUGAUCUGAGUUCCUAAUUCCGGCCUGUAUUCCCAUGCUCGAUUCAUCUUCUUCUUUCUACUGUAUUCCAUGAAGUUGCCACUGUCGCAGUAUUUCCAUGUUCUAAAUGUGGUCCUCCUCAGGUUCGAGUUAUGAACCAUAAAGCUUGCUGUCCUCUGUCUCAAAUGGCGAUGUGCGAGACGGUGUUGCAGGUGUUAACCUCAUACUUCCUCGAGGUCAAGAGAGGGUGGUUUAUUGCAGACCAAGCUUCCAUGUUGCAUUGGUCCGGCGGAGAGGAGAGGGCCCUACACACUUGCAUGCAGCAGCUGUAGCUUCUAAAGUCCUCUACGAUGAGGAAGAAAGAGAGAGAGAGAGAGAGAGAGAGAGAGAGAGAGAGAGAGGAAAAACAUCUUUACAAGGGAAAGAAAUGGUUUCGAGAUUCCUCUCUUGCUUAUCCUGAGUGACAAUGGAAGGCCUCAUGCCGAGCACUGGGACACCUUCCGAAAGCAUCAAGCGUACAAUGUGUCCACCACUGGCAUGACCUUUAGGCGUGAAAAGGCUAUUCCCCUUUGACCAUCCCACAUAUGGGUGGAAGAUAUCGAUUCCACAAAAUCUACCAUGCAUUAUCCAAGACCUAAAAAAUUGGUAAUAAUGAAAGAAUCUCCCAUGUUCCUCCUGACCUUUACUCAGCACCUCAGCCCCAUGCAUCCAAGGAUAGUGCAGCAGAGGCCCCAUGCAAAGGGGGAUUCUGAUGCACUGGUUCUGGUUGGAAGGCACAGCCAAGCCUCUCGGUUCUCUGCUACCAACUUGGACAGGAAGAGAAGAGAGAGAGAGAGAAGCUGGACAUAUGCAGAAAGAGGCAUUGGACUGGUAGUUGGUGGUUGGUAGCCAAAUGACAUCACCCAAAGACACAACCACCACUGCCUGUGUUCCAUUGAAUUCAGGGUUGUGCCUGUGAUGUCUUUUGCUUCCCUCAUGUCCUUCCUUUUUCUGGGGAUCUUUAACCUUUGAAUCAGUGGAUGGCUGUUGGGAAAAGUGUAGGGCUUAGAUUCUAGAAGGGCCAACCCCACCCAACCCUGUUGGUGUUGAUGGGUUUGGCUUUAUUAGGCUGGAAGCUAUCUCCAUCAAGGCACCAACAGCUAGAGAUAUUUUAUCCAUGCCCUCAAGUAAGCAAACACCAUGCCCUUUCUAGAGCUCCAUGGAGAUCUAAUUUACACUGAACACUGCUUGUUCUGACAUCAUACUUAUCAUGGUUCAUAUUCCUUGGAGUUUACCAGCCUCUUCACUUGUUUUCAUUGAACAUUAUGACUUGCUAUUGUUAUAUGUGUGUAUAUAUAUAUUAUCUUCUAUGUUUAAUACUAGUAUAUGGUGCUGGGACUCGACUCUGGUUUCUUGCCCACCUUCUUCUACCCACCAGCUUGUCCUGCUCCUUAUGUGCUUAUUGCUUGCUGCUUUAUCUCGGCUUUAACACCUGAAUCUUCUUGAGAGAUCAUCUGUGAACAGGAAAAGAUACAAGUGCAGCGAUUCUGGUGAUGGUUGGAAGGAGUAAAUGCAUAUGGUGAGGGAAAGGGAAAGAGGGUGGAUUGAUGUGCCAUGGUUGAUGGCCUUUCCUGACACACCUCGAGGGAACACUACUUGUUCAUUUGUCCUCCACAACAUGCUGCACCUACUUGGCUUCUACUUGUACGGUGGAAAACCUUGAUCGUAGCCAGGCAUCACAGACUUGUCGAAUUGAGAAUUGAUGACAGAUGGAGGUAGAAAGAAGAAGGAAAAUUAGGCAAAGCCUGCCUCACAGCAACUGCCAAGAUUUCACCAGUGCAUCACUGAUGAAGUGGCACAGAGGCAACCAAGAAAAGUUUGGUGAAUGGAAACUUCCAGUGAUCUCUUUCAUCACAUCACCAAAACUCUUGUAUUCAUGGUUCUUACUUACCAGUGAAACUUUCCUUGGAUGUGCAAUCUGUUUAGUAUUUUGGGCAGAACAUUUUAGAGUUCUUGUUGUGGAUUCCUUUUCUAUUCUCAGCUUAUGUUACCAUAGAGAGUUUUGUGGAUGCUUGAAGUCACCUCUAAACUCAGAAGACUUUGUGGGGAUCAAAUAGUUCAUCAGCAUGAAUCAAACCAUGACAAUUCAGUCUCACAAACAAAGCAGAAUUGCCAACCAGUUAAUAUGGCAACUGCAAAUGCUUCCGUAGACAAUUAAUAAGCAUCAUAAAUCUAGAAGAUGAUCCUUCAAACAGAAGACAUCAAGCAUCCAAUGUAGGUCAUAGUUUAUCUAGAAUGGUGUCUCAGCUGUAAUUCUUCCAACACAGGAUUCAAUAGCCCGAUAUUUGCCUUCCUAGAAAAGAAAACAUGUUCUCUUAAUCAUCACUGAAACAUUAAGCCUUCUUCCUUCUCUGUGUUCAGUGUGCUCAAUAGUUUCACAUUCAGCUAUGAUGUGCCAUCUUUGUUUGCAAUGCACUUCAUCCCUAAGCACUCCACCAUCCAGUUUACAUCUUGAUUUCAAUGUGUCAAACUGAAUAAUUGACUCAUCGUUUUCAAUGGCACUGGAAAUGGACAAAGUAAGGGCUGUGCUAAUUCUACACUCCAGCUUAGAUGAGAAACUCCAAUUGAUUCAACAGAGACAUGCAGAGCCCACUGAAUCCUUUGUGAAACUUCUGCAUCAGACAGUAAAUGGAAGGUUCAGAGCUCAUGUUCAGUUGAUGUUUGCUUACACAAGCAUGUAAAUAGAACAGGCUCCGAACUGCAUCAUGUAAUGAUCAGAUCAGCAACUCUGCAGUCCAAACAACAAUCCUUGUUAUAACAUAGCAAGAAACUGAAUGAAAAGGGACCAGGCAACCCAAGGAAUAAAUCUACAAUGAAUCUUCUCAAUAUAAACAAAGAAAUAAGAAGCUACACCGAAUCAACGGAACGAUAAUCGAUCAAGAGAUUCACCUUCGAUAUGGCCAAACAGCAGAGCUAAAGGGAUGAACUUGGCUGUGCUUGGAGAUGCUGACUUGAGAUAAGUGGAAGCCCACGGCCCGGCUUUCAGUAGCUCCACAUGCUGGGCAAGCGGCAAAGGACCGGUUCGGCCCAAAGUAGUGUGGAAAAGAACCGAACCCGAGUCAGGCCGUCAUUAAUUUCAAUUCGACUCAAAUUGGAAAGGGCUUUGUACGAAAUAUGAAGCCUUUUAUCUUGCACGUUUAUGUGAAGUCUAGUGGGAAGAAAACCGGACCGGAGUUGACUCCGGUUCGGCUCAAAUUUUUCUGUAGAUUUUCAAUAAGACUUGAGAUGGACUUAUAUGAAAAUUUUUAAGAUGUGAGGGACUAAUGUGGAAAUGAAGCUUUCUAUUGUCCACGUUCGCAAUAUAUUGUCGUCUCCCUCUCCCAAUUAUAACGUCUUGUAAUAGUAUUACGAAACCCGAAGCACAUGGCCGAGGUGAGCCAGAGCAAGGCAGCUGCGGUGGCGGCGACCGAGGAGGUCGUGGUCGGGAAGGUGGCGCUGACGCCGACGGACGAGGUGGUUAAGCAACUGGAUGUGGUACCUGCUCCGGAGGUUGUGAAAGGGCCAAAGAAGGUGGCAUUACUAUCGGCACUGGCCGCCGAGGCGGCGGCUGAGGCGGAGGAGAAGCGGGCAUGUGGCGCGGAGAAGGAGGCCGCGGAGAAGGCUGCCUCCGUCUUCCAGGCCGUCUCCUUCAAGGAGGAGAGCAGCCUCGUUGCUGACCUCGAGGACCACGAGAAGAAGGCCCUCGAUGAGAUGAAGCAACUCGUACGGGCCGCCCUCGCCAGCCGCGAGUUCUCUUCCGCUCCGCCUCCACCAGCUGCCUCAUUGGCCAAGGAGGCAAAGCUCGAGGAGCCGCCCGCAUCUACCCUUGUGGAAGCGCCGCCGAAGCCCGCGACCGAGACGCCGGCUCCACCGAGCAGGCAGGCGGAGGACGACGAGGCCCCGGAACAGCAAUCGGCGGCGGAUAAGAAUACUGUCACGGCGAACGAGGAUGGGGCCAAGACGCUGGAAGCCAUAGAGGAAACCGUGGUCUCCGUCGCCGCCACUCCUCCACCCGAGGAGGCCAUGACUCCAGUGGCUGCUGAGGAGGAAGCGGAGAAGACCGAUGCCGCCGCCGCGGCGUCGGCCGCGAAGGAGGUCCUCAUCUGGGGCAUCCCACUUCUGGUCGACGAGAGGAGCGACACUGUGCUCAUCAAGUUCCUCCGUGCGAGGGACUUCAAGGCGAAGGAAGCCAUGGCCAUGCUAAAGAACGCCGUGCUCUGGAGGGAGGAGUUCGGCAUCGAGGCCCUCCUAUCGGAGGACCUCGGCGUCCCGGAGCUGGAAAGGGCGGUGUUCAUGCACGGCGCCGACAGAGCCGGCCACCCCGUGUGCUACAACGUCUACGGGGAACUCCAAAGCAAGGAGCUCUACGCGCUGGCUUUCGCUGACGAGAAGAAGAAGAAGCGGUUCUUGAGGUGGAGGAUCCAGUUCCUGGAGAAGGGCAUCCGGAAUCUGCUGGACUUCACUCCAGGCGGAAUCUCGACGAUGGUGCAGGUCGCUGAUCUCAAGAACUCGACCGGCCCGGCCAAGGAACUCCGCCAUGCCUUCGCUCUGCUCCAAGAUAACUACCCGGAGUUCGUCGCCAUGCAGGUAGCUGGAGUUCCUUCUUCUUCUUCCAUUGUUUCCAAAGAUUUCUUAGUUGAACAAAGUGGUGGAUUGAAUCUUCUUUUCACCAAAAUUGCAUUUUGAUGAAUGGAUCGAAUCAAAAAGAUGCAAAGAAAUUUGAUCUGUGGAGUUGAAUUGGUCUCUGCAUGCCUAUAUUUUCGUCUAUUCAAUAAUUGUUUGAAUGCUGACACAUUCUGUGUUGCCAUCGUUAGAUAUUCAUCAAUGUUCCAUGGUGGUAUUUGGCCUUCAAUCGGAUGAUGAGCCCCUUCUUCACGCAGAGAACCCGGAGCAAGUUCGUCUUCGCAAGGCCCUCAAACACAGCCGAGACGCUCUCCAAGUUAGCAGCAUCUGUCAAUAUUGUCUUCUGCCUUCACCUUGCUCCACCAUAGUUUGGUUGUCCUGAUGCACAAUCGAUUCAUCUCAUCAGAUACAUUGCUCCCGAGCAAGUCCCGGUUCGAUAUGGCGGCCUGAGCAAGGAGAAUGACCCAGACUUCACCUCUUCUGAUGCUGUUACAGAGAUCACCAUCAAGCCCUCAAUGAGGCAAGCCAUAGAGAUUCAGGUUACUGAGGUAGGGAACUCCUCUUCCACUUCUGAACCAGUAGCAAUUGCAUGCAUUUUGGAACGUAAUGCUGUCUCUGCAGAAAUGCCUUCUCGUUUGGGAGCUGCGAGUUCUUGGCUGGGAAGUGACGUACGGCGCCGAGUUCGUGCCAAGGUCGGAGAACGGAUACACGGUGAUCGUGCAGAAGGAGAGGAAGUUGGUCGCCGCCGAUGAGCCAGUCCUCAAAGGCAGCUUCAAGAUCGGAGAGGCAGGCAAAAUUGUUCUGACAGUCCAUAACUCUGGCUCCAAAAGGAAGAAGCUUCUCUACAGGUACAAGAUCAAGAGCUCAGCUGAAUCCACCUGAGCUUCCUGGUGAACUGCAACUGAAGAGCUCGAAGAAAGGAAAUGGCUGUGAAGGAUUAGCAACUAAUCCUUCUCAUGGGUUCAAUGAUGUUAGCUCAUACAAAACUUCAUCUUUAACUUUGCCGGUCCAUGUUUUGCCCACUCUGGAGAUUAUGUGCAAGGAGGAGUUCUCAUGCUGCUAAUCCAGCAAAUUAUCUUCAAAGCAUAUGGUUACACUGUUGAAGGCAAAUCUUUGUCUAAUAUGUAGUGUCAGCAUUACAUUGUACUUGGAAAUAUUUGAACUGCUGGUCUCCUCAAUCAUAUAACUUGAAGUAUUCUACUUGUUUGAUGUUUUCAGUACCGUCUGCAAGUUUGGCCCAUCCAAUUUAGAUACAAAGGUUUGAAAUCCACAAUAAAUAUUACAUAUCUUCAAUGUAAUGAAGAUAGUAAAUUGUAGUGCUCCCAAAUGAAUUGGGAACAGGGAAGUGCUUUUCAUGGGGAAGGAAAGAUACAAAGGUUCUGAUGCAUAGGGAAUCUGACCACCCUCUCUAUCUCUAAUUUGCAGGUGAAUCCUAUGCUAACUUGUCAGGAUUACAUGUAGUUUACUAGGUGGUGGUGAGGAAAAAGGAGUUGAUAGUUUUGAUGCACACCACAGUGAUCCUCUGCACAUAGUGAAUUGACAAAGAGAGCUCUCUGUCCCAGAAUGUUCACUGCAUUGACUCCAGGGAGAGCAGACAACCAUGUGUACAGAGUGCAUCAAUCAUCUAUCACACAGUUAGACCAUCUAACACACACACACACAAGAGAGAGAGAGAGAGAGAGAGAGAGAGAGAGAGAGAAGAAGAACNNNNNNNNNNNNNNNNNNNNNNNNNNNNNNNNNNNNNNNNNNNNNNNNNNAGAGAGAGAGAGAGAGAGAGAGAGAGAGAGAGAGAGAGAAGAAACAGUGGCAAUCAGCCAUUGGGAAGAUUUGCCAAAGCAAGAACAUUGGUUCCUUUUGAGUGGCAAAAGAAAGAGACUGAAAUCCUUCAGAUAACAGAGCCUCAUCCCUCCAUAGUUUAAACUUUGCUUUUGCUUUCUUUCUCAGAGGACCCUAAGUUCUGCAUUCAUGACAAAGAAGAUUAAACUUAUGUAGAAUUAAGGCAUACUGCUUAAUCAACCCAAAUUGUAGUCUAUUAUGUGUGGCAUUAAAGAUGUAACCAAUUGUUGGUGGUCCUGAGUCUUGUAUGAGGCCAUUUCCUGCUUUAAUUGAAGGUGCAGAAGAAAAGGCCAUGUUUUGCAGGACAUCCUAAUUCACUCUUUGGAUAGUUUUCUGAACCUUUUGUUCUUUGUGCUAGAUUUAGAAAAGUAUCAGUGACAUCCUCUCUUGUCAUGCUCAGAAUGACCAUGCCAUAUUGUCUUCAUCUCAGAAAACAAUCUUAUGAUCCUUGCUGUCUGUGAAUUUGUUGGUUUGGACUUGGGACUUACUGCACUAACAUUUAAGGAGAUCAAAAUCCUUUGCAUGUUAUGAGAUCUCCUCCACAUUUCUUGCCCUUGCUGAUGUAGCAUUAGUAUUUCCACUGAACCUCCUCAAAAAUUCCAUCUACAAUUUAGCAGCUAAUGUGCUGUUGUUUAUAUAACCCAACUGGGAGCCAGAGAUGUUCUAAAAGGAAAGGAAGAAAGCCAGAGUCUUGCUUUUGGCAGUUCAAAGUCUCAAUCUAUCCUCCUUUGAAGAAAGCAUCAAAAAGAGGAGAAAAAAUAAAGACAAAUUAUGUUCUGAAGGAGAAUGAUGAAUUCCAUUUUAUCUGCAACCUUCAAGUUUUUUACUCAGUGGACAACAAUCUUUGCUUCUCUGUUCACCCAUGUGCAUGUGUGAUCUCCUGAAACCCUAGCCUGUAUCCUCCCUUUUUCUGCAAGGAACAUAGCCUGCACCAAGCUAUCAAAGGUCCUAGGCCUCUCAACACAAAAAGUAGCAGAUCAAACCAGUGACAAAUUCCUUGUCACAAGCAUCUUCUGAUCACCAUCAGCUUACCACUGAGCUUCAAGUUCUCUUGUAGCCUAGGUUUGGGUGCCAUGAGAGCAGCCUUAUAACUAAGGCAUGGAGAGACAUCACAGAGUCACAGUAAAGGAGAUCUCCAAGCUCCCAUUAGUGCCCAUCAUUCUGCUAUCUUUUCUGUCUUUGAAUGAAGCUGACUGCUCUUCGAGAGGGUUUGCUUUCGGACAUCAACAUGGCCCCACCGGCCAGACUCAACGUCGAUCCAACAGGAAGAAGACAGGGGAGAGGCCUGAGAGGGGCAACCCAACACCAUCAUCAAACAAGGAAAAGGGCAGAAAGGAAAAGAAGAGACGGGGCUGUUGAUGGUGGCCACGCCCAAGGCUUGCUGUCCUCGCCAAGCGUUGGCUUUAUGCGGGGAAUCUGACUGCUUCCUGCCCUUUGAACUGGUCAUUGGUGGCCGAAGGCAGCAAAGGCAUGUGCUUGCUGCUUCGUCCUGGGAACACAGAGACCAAGUGGUGGGUGCCAUUAUUGGCAUCAUUUGAGCUUGGAAAGAUCUGCAAGAUCAUCUUCUUCUUCUUCUUCUUG